UACGUAGGGGGCAAGCGUUGUCCGGAUUUAUUGGGCGUAAAGAGCGUGUAGGCGGCUUUACAGGUCCGUUGUGAAAACUCGAGGCUCAACCUCGAGACGCCGGUGGAAACCGUAAAGCUAGAGUCCGGAAGAGGAGAGUGGAAUUCCUGGUGUAGCGGUGAAAUGCGCAGAUAUCAGGAGGAACACCGGUGGCGAAGGCGGGUCUCUGGGCCGAUAUUGACGCUGAGGAGCGAAAGCGUGGGGAGCGAACAGG
rnacentral:rRNA from 1 species